UAGCUCACUGGUCGAGUCGGCCUGCGCGGAAGAUGUAACGGGGCUAAACCAUGCACCGAAGCUGCGGCAGCGACGCUUAUGCGUUGUUGGGUAGGGGAGCGUUCUGUAAGCCUUUGAAGGUGUACUGUGAGGUAUGCUGGAGGUAUCAGAAGUGCGAAUGCUGACAUAAGUAACGAUAAAGCGGGUGAAAAGCCCGCUCGCCGGAAGACC
rnacentral:rRNA from 1 species